rnacentral:misc_RNA from 1 species
GAAAUGCGAUACUUGGUGUGAAUUGCAGAAUCCCGUGAACCAUUGAGUCUUUGAACGCAAGUUGCGCCCCAAGCCGUCAGGCCGAGGGCACGCCUGCCUGGGUGUCACGCAUCGUUGCCCCCCACCGUCUACAGACGUGUGCGGGGAGCGGGGAUUGGCCUCCCGUGAGGGUGUUCCCUCGCGGUUGGCCCAAACACAGGUCCCGGCCGAGGAAGCCGCGACUUUCGGUGGUUGUUAACAAACAGACAUGCCUUGUCGUGCUCUCCUCGUGCCUUUUGCGGCACCCUCGACCCUAAGAAGGGCCAGUGCACUCUUUGAGUCAGUUGCGCUCGCUUUGCGACCCCAGGUCAGGCGGGACUACCCGCUGAGUUUAAGC